rnacentral:lncRNA from 1 species
AAGAAGAGGGGCCGAUGCCCCUCUUGGAAUUUAAUCAAGGAGCUCCUACAAAGUAGGAGCUCCACAUGCUAUUUAAGAGGAGGCAUGGGGGCUGACCUAGGGAAUCAUUGAAGCCCUCUCCCUCUCCAAUUCGUGGCCCCCCUCUCCUCCCCUUUCCUUGGUUCAGCCGCAAGCAAAGGAAGAAAAGAAAGGUGGCCUUUUCAUCCUCCCUUCCUCCUUCCAACGCAAGGAAAAGAAAGAAGGCUGCAGGGUUUUUGUUCCUUUACUAUUCUUCAUCCUUCUUCUUCCUCCUCUCAAGCAUAUUCAAGAGUUGAAAGAAAGAGAGGAG